ensembl:lncRNA
GCCAGAGAGCAGCGAUUGGUCAGAGCAUAGAUAUCUAUAGAAGACAGCGCGCUAGCGUAUCUAGUCUAUGUAUAUCUAUGGUCGGCACGUCUGGUAGCAUCUGUGGCUGCUGUUGAUCUUGUUUUUGGAGUAAAACACGGUGGAAGCUGAAUUAGUGAGGAUGACUCCUGCUCCUGUCAUCUCUAAGCUCCUCACACAUCUUUACCUGCACAUGAGGAAAAUCACUCCUGUAGAAUGCAGAUGUUCAGAGGGAGAUGAUGCCACAUCUGGUCCAGCUGAUGGAAGGUCUUGAAGUUCUCUGACUGGCCUCGACUGAAGAUGGUCGUCUCACUGGAUUUAAGGUUCAGAUGCUCAGUAACAAACUCCAUCAAUGUGCCAACAGGGAAGCUUUAGGUUUAUUAAAUGUUGCUAUGAAGGUUUCGCUGUUUUUCUUUGUGAAUGCAAUGUGCUCCAACUGAAACUUGAAUUAGAACUUAGAAGUAAAUCCUUCCAUCUGCAUCAGCAGCUUUUCUAUCUCAGUUCAUUCUGACAUUCAGCUAUGAAUCAACACAGCAGAUGGUGAUCCAUGCUGUGGAAGUCUCACAUCUCCUGAUUUAAUGGAGCUGCUUUGCACUUUUUACACUGUUUAUUCACCAACACUUUAUUUAAUAAAAGUCCCAUCUAGUUUUUAUGAGGAAUGUGAUGUUUUAAUUUCUCUGUGAAUAACUGCAGUCUAAUGCAACAGCUGGAGUUGUAACAUCUGUCCUGAUAUUGAUCAUGAAGUAUUGAUCAGAAUACUUAUGGUGAGCAGUUAUCCCUUAAGUUUUACAUUAAAAUCUUUACUUGUGUUGUGAACUUUGGUAAGAAGCAGAAAUGUUAGCGUUGCCAUGGAUACAUGAGUGUUAAAUUCUGUCCAUGUUUCCAUUUUGGGAAAUUCAGUCCAGUUCCAGAAUGUGGAGGAAUUUAGUCUCACAAUCACAGACAACAAAUAUUAUCUGAAAGUUGGGUUAUUGUUGUUUAUCAGCACAAUACAAAAAGAUUAAUGUUAGAAAUAUUCCAGUUAAGUCUCUAGAAUAUCAUGAUUUAUGGAAAUUUACCUCAAUAAUAUGAAUGUUCAGGUCAAGAUUGUACAGUGAUAUUUAUUAUGUAAGUUUAGCUGAUUAAAGUUUAUGACUCUGCACUAAAAUAUUAUUUAAAUUGACAUCAUUAUUAUAAUAUUUAGGCUCAGACCCUACAGUAUUGAGAUUAAGAAAUCAAAUAUUCUAUAAAAUGUAAAUACACUGAACUCAUUUGGAUAUAUUUAAGUGAGACUCUACAAUAUUAUUUGACACAAAUCUAUCUAAAUCAAAAUUUUAAUAAUUUUCACACCAAACAUUUACUGGACUGAUUUAAAUAUUAAAAUCACUCCUUUCUAAUCCUCUGCUGUAUGUUCAAACCUGAGGCCUUAAAUAGAAACACACAAGUAUCUGUUUGAAGGAACUUCUGCAGAGUCCUGGUUCCAGAACAUGAUGAUAGAAUUAUAGACAAACUUUAACAAAAGCUGCCUGAGAGUUUACAGGUUUUUAUGUUGGAUUUCUUCAGUAAUUUAAUGAGAGUUAUCAGCAAUAUUCAAGUGUUCAUUUGAUGAACUUCAUUUCCUAAAACAUCCAGAAUUGAAGCUCAUAUCUUUGGCAGCUGUAAAGUUUCUGCUCCUUCAAAGUUCACAACACAAUGAAUUAAUUCCUAAAACACUCUCAAUGCUGGAGAGCGUUUGUGAUGCUGAAGCAGUGAUCAGUUUUUCUGUUUCUUCUCUGGAGAUGCACAAUGAGGGACGUCUGCAGAGACUGAGAAAGAGUCUCACCACAUCCUGACAUGAGGAAAAAGACUUUAUUGAAGACUACAAUGAGAAAAACUAUCAGACAGCAGACGGCUGCAUUCAAGUUUAGGCUGUUAGAUUGUUCCAGAUAAGACAAGUACAAGAUUCUUCAGAGCCGUUCUACCACGAGCCUGACAGGAAGAACUCCAACAGCUACUGAAUGUUCCUGUGGUUCCCUCAAGGCUACAGGAGGAGUCCUACGAGGACGAGCCGGUCCACCUGAUGGCGGCCAGUCGCUGCAGUUCAAAGCCAACACCGACUACGUGGACUUCUACUGGACCACACGGAGGCCUUCAAACUGGACCAACAAGUUCAGCGACUCCCCGACUCGUGGGUCUGAGGACGCUGCCGAGCCUCGGCUCAGCCGGCCUCCUGUCUGUGGGUGUUUGAGUGCUGAGAGGUUUGUGGAUGCAUGUGAACGUGUCUGUGUUGAAACAGCAGCUUUGGACUCACUAACGCUGGGAAAAACCAAGAGCUCCUUUAUUUGUGACUUCCACUAAAAAGCUGAAGAAAAUAAGUUUGCCAGGG